GCGCCUCCCGCCGCACCUGAGGGCGAGGGCGGCGGCGGGGCCGGGAGCGGGGCCGGAGCCCUGCGGGGACGGGAAGGCAGCCGGCUGGGGCUCCCCACGGCGUUGCCUGUGGGAGUGGCGGCCGGGAAUUCGGCGGCGCGAUGCCCGCCCUGGCGACAGCGUCCCGGCGCUGAGGGGGUCGCGCUGCCCCUCGGCUGAGGUGGGCAUGUGGGGCGGGGCGAUGGCGGCGGCCCCGGCCCGAGGCCUGGGUCUCGCUCUGUUUCCCCAUCAGGGUUUCUGUUCAGCUCAGACCACGGAUUAAAGCCUCUCUCCCAACAGCAAUUCAGCUCUUUUAUCAGAAGAAAUGCUUCCGUGUAAGAUUGUAUUGCAGCCUCUCCCUUGAGGGAAGUAGAGUACCGUAAGCAUGUACUGGCUGAAUUUGCACAAGCUCGUGCUCUGCGAUUCAUCUCAAGCCAGCGGCAGCGUUCAGUGUUGCUCACCCAGGGUCUUCAACUGGGGAAGGCAGCUGAGAAGCACCAGCCUGGUAGUCAGUGAAGAGGUUGCGGCGGUAGGAGCAUCACUGUGUGAGCAGAGCUCCUGGCAGGAGCCAGCACUGGGGGUAGGACAUGGCACCUUCCAGGCUCACUCAGGGGCGGCCUAAUACAGCUCAGCAUGGUUGCACUACAAAGAUCGGCUUUCUAAUUGAGUGAGAUCAUUCAUGUGAGAAGAAUUCCACAUUGAAGCUAUCUGAAAACUAUUUUAUAUUAUACAGGUACACCACUGGUAGGAAGUAUUAACAAUAGUUACUGAGUUUCCCCUCCUUUUCCAAAUUCAGAGGUAAGCAUGACAUUUUUUCUUGACCUGCAUCUCAUUUCAGUGUAGUUUUGAACACGGUACAGUCAGGUACGUUUUUUGUCUGCUUUGGAUGUUGUCAUUGAGACAUGUCAUCUUUGGGAUCCACACUGAAUGAAAAUCAGAGAGCUUUCAAGCAGGCAUUUUUUUUAUUGUAGAGGUGUAUAUUUUAUAUUAAAUUUGGACUGUAUUAAAUGCACUUUAAUUACAUUAUUAAUUUAAAUAAUAUUUGAUUUAAAUAAAACACCAAGAGAACUUGAUUUAAAGAACUGAUUCAGUUUCCACAUUGAUUGCUACAAAACCAACUAAUUUCAUGCAGCGUUUGAAGAACUAGAAGCCAGAGCUGAUUUCUUAGCUAGUAUGUAACUACAGCCAAAGUGUUCUGCACACAGAUGUAAAGGUGAUGAUGUUUUGAGGCUGGCUGCAUUCUGAGGCAGUACUCCUACAAAAGGAAUGAUACCAAUCUGAAAAUGGACUGUGUUGCCCAGCUACUUCUCUACCUUGCACCUAAACUAUUUCCACACAUUAUAGUUGGUUUAGUUUAAUACAGUAACAACCCUCUACUAACCUCUAGAUUUUAGGUGAUACAGCUUUUACUUUGUAAAACAUAAAAUAGCUUUUCUUUUGAAAUGCCAGUGUUAAAAUUCCAUACCUCUGGCAAACUCAGUUGAAUGCAGUUCACACAUUCAGUUUAAUGUAGACCUGUUUUUUAGUUAAAUAAGAGAAAACAAACCUGACAAACAUAGAUACAGGAGAUUUUAUUUAACAUUGUGUACAAAGAAAGGCUACAAAUGCCUUUUUUCCCCAAAUACAGUUUUUGGAUCCCUUUUUCAUACCACUUUUCUCAGAAAAUUAAAAAAAAAAUAAUCCAGAAUUACAUUCCCCACCCUUUUUUUCCCCUUUCCUUUUUCCCCUCUUUGGGCCUAAACUGAGAGAUGUUUAGCAGUACAGUUUCAACACCUUUCAGUAUUAAACUAUUAGGUUUUCUUUUCCAAAACCAGAGCGCUAUGGGAUACUGAAGCACUAUCAACAGCAGUAUAAAAUGUCAAAAACUGACUCUGUAACAUGGUAGUGUUAAAACAAUGCCAACAACAUUAACUCUGAUGAAACCCCAAAUUAGCCAAAUAGCAAGUUGUCUUCUACACCUGAUAAUUUAGCACUGAUUAUAUAAUUUAAUUGUAUUUAUAUUUAAAUAAAUAGUCUUAACUCCUUUUCUUGGAAUUCUU